rnacentral:rRNA from 1 species
UACGGAGGGUGCAAGCGUUAAUCGGAAUUACUGGGCGUAAAGCGUGCGCAGGCGGUUUGUUAAGUCCGUUGUGAAAGCCCCGAGCUCAACUUGGGAAUUGCAGUGGAUACUGGCAGGCUGGAGUACGGUAGAGGAAGGUGGAAUUCCCGGUGUAGCAGUGAAAUGCGUAGAUAUCGGGAGGAACACCGGUGGCGAAGGCGGUUCUCUGGGCCUGUACUGACGCUGAGGAGCGAAAGCGUGGGGAGCGAACAGG